rnacentral:antisense_RNA from 1 species
CACCAGGUAUUCCCACCCACCAGAAGCUGGCUGUUGUACUCACCCGGAACCAUGGUGCACCACCACAGCGGCGAGGUCAUACAGGCAGCUCUCCGGGCCACUGUUCUCAGGCUACAGAACAAGGAAGAAGGCACAGUGGUCAAUGACAUCGGUAUCUUGAUGACCUCUACCCUCUCCAUGUGAUGACAAUCUUACCGAAGAGCCAUUUUUUCACCAUGCUAAAAAGGUAUACUACUGAGAAAGAAUCAAAUGAAAAGAAAAAAGACUCAACAAGACCUCACUCGUAUUAACUGGACUCUACAAGCAGUGAGCAUCCAGACCUGCAUUCGGUUACAAAAGAAGCCUUCAAGCUAUUUUCAUCAGCUUCCUAAUCAAGUUAAAGAAUAAACCACAAAACUGAGUGUCCA